rnacentral:rRNA from 1 species
UAACUAUAACGGUCCUAAGGUAGCGAAAUUCCUUGUCGGGUAAGUUCCGACCUGCACGAAUGGCGUAAUGAUGGCCAGGCUGUCUCCACCCGAGACUCAGUGAAAUUGAACUCGCUGUGAAGAUGCAGUGUACCCGCGGCAAGACGGAAAGACCCCGUGAACCUUUACUAUAGCUUGACACUGAACAUUGAGCCUUGAUGUGUAGGAUAGGUGGGAGGCUUUGAAGUGUGGACGCCAGUCUGCAUGGAGCCGACCUUGAAAUACCACCCUUUAAUGUUUGAUGUUCUAACGUUGACCCGUAAUCCGGGUUGCGGACAGUGUCUGGUGGGUAGUUUGACUGGGGCGGUCUCCUCCUAAAGAGUAACGGAGGAGCACGAAGGUUGGCUAAUCCUGGUCGGACAUCAGGAGGUUAGUGCAAUGGCAUAAGCCAGCUUGACUGCGAGCGUGACGGCGCGAGCAGGUGCGAAAGCAGGUCAUAGUGAUCCGGUGGUUCUGAAUGGAAGGGCCAUCGCUCAACGGAUAAAAGGUACUCCGGGGAUAACAGGCUGAUACCGCCCAAGAGUUCAUAUCGACGGCGGUGUUUGGCACCUCGAUGUCGGCUCAUCACAUCCUGGGGCUGAAGUAGGUCCCAAGGGUAUGGCUGUUCGCCAUUUAAAGUGGUACGCGAGCUGGGUUUAGAACGUCGUGAGACAGUUCGGUCCCUAUCUGCCGUGGGCGCUGGAGAACUGAGGGGGGCUGCUCCUAGUACGAGAGGACCGGAGUGGACGCAUCACUGGUGUUCGGGUUGUCAUGCCAAUGGCACUGCCCGGUAGCUAAAUGCGGAAGAGAUAAGUGCUGAAAGCAUCUAAGCACGAAACUUGCCCCGAGAUGAGUUCUCCCUGACUCCUUGAGAGUCCUGAAGGAACGUUGAAGACGACGACGUUGAUAGGCCGGGUGUGUAAGCGCAGCGAUGCGUUGAGCUAACCGGUACUAAUGAACCGUGAGG